GGGGAUUUAGCUCAGUGGUUUGGGUGUCUGUCUCGCAAGCACAAGGUCCCAAGUUCAAUCCCCA
rnacentral:tRNA from 1 species